rnacentral:lncRNA from 1 species
UGUGUGUGUGUAGAGAUACUGAAGGGAACAAACUGCAAUAAGGCAUCUGAUGUCCUGAGAAUGUGCCAUGUGGACGCACCUUUUCUAUUUUAAUGCAGUAGCAUGCCCAGGAUCCCUCAGCCAUUCUGAGCGCCUUUCCUAGCACAGAGGUAGGUUUCAAGAAGUGUUUUACUUCUGCACCAGUUUUAAGCUUCAUUUUAUUCUUUUUAUACAGACGCAACUAUAAGAUGAUUGAGAUAUAUACAAUCUUAUUUUAUGUAUGUAUUCAAAUCCAUGCACACGGAACACAGAUUACACCUCUUCUAUGCUGCAAAAGGAGAUGAGACCCAAAGGUCCAAAUCAUAGGACUGCCCCAUGUCAGAUAUUGAGUCCAUUUAUCAUGAUAACAUAUCUCACACCUCUCUACUAGUCAGCAUCUCCCAGGCUCAAGGAUUUCAUUGCCUUUCCUGGGAGGCAGGCUGAGAAUUCAGACAGACACUUUGAGAGGAGUGAAGCACCAAUGUCCUCUAAUCAGAGGUUUAUAUUUUUACCAUGCACAGAUCAGAGCCUUCAGGUCUCAUCUUGCUUCUGUGGGUUUUUUGCAUGAUGGUCAUUAAAGAUUUGCAUUUCUCAGUAAAAAUUACAACAAAGCAUACCCGUAUUUUUGUGUGUUAAGAUUGGAAAACUAAACAAAGGAGGAGCUAUGGAAGAAGCCAAAGCUAUAGCAAAAACUUUUAAGAGACGGGUGGGGGGACGAUCAGUGUUGAAAUAUUUGAUAAAAUAAAAGAAAUAAUGGAAGUACAGACAAAGACCUCAUCUUUUGUUUUGUUUUUGAACAGUGCAACUAAGUGGGAAUAAUAUUGCAGAAAGAGAGGAAAUUGUAUCUCAGAGCAGGAUAAGGAUACUGUUUAGAAUUACAGGGAUAAAGAUACUGUUUAGAAUUACAGUUUUGUGGCAUGAUCCGUCAAGUACUGCUGGUGUACAGCCUCCAUAUAUUUCAGUGAUCAUGCAUUGGUCUCCCCCAUUUAUUCAGACAAAGGCUGUACAUUGGCAGUGCUUGGUAGUUCUGUAGUUACAGCACAGUUCUAUGCACGUCUACUAGGAAGUAAGUCACACUGAGUUCAAUGAGAAUCCCAAAUAAGGGCAGCCUUAGUCACUCAUCAAGAAAUCUCAUGGGUGAAAUCCGAUUAGUCUUGACAGAUAUCAGGGUCUGACCUAAGCAGAAUCUGCCAAUGAGUGGGUUUAAUACCAGUGUAAGAAGUUGCUGAAACAUCAUUGCCUUAGGUGUCACAUAGGACUUUGCUAUUAGGCAGGCUUGAGUGCCAAAAAGUGUAUUAACUUCCUGGACUGGGCUUGGCUGCCUUUGUGUCUGAAUAACUUUAUCUCUAGUUCCACUGGAUUAGACUUGCUCACCUCUGCAACUUUGGCCCAGUGAUCCUAUAUGAACCUGCUGCCUUACCUUUUGACCACCUGGAUUGAUAAUUUCCCCCAUGACUGCUACCAUCUUCAGCCACCCAUGUGCCUUGCUCUUUCUAGAUGACCAGGAUCCCUAUUUUAUCUCCAAAGCAGACCAGAAAUAUCCACAGAAGCAAGGCAAUUAAACGAGAGAACAGGAAGCAGUUUCUACUUUUUCAAAGGAAUCGCAAUAGAUGACAUUAA